UGGGGAAUAUUGGACAAUGGGCGCAAGCCUGAUCCAGCAAUGCCGCGUGAGUGAAGAAGGCCUUCGGGUUGUAAAGCUCUUUUGUCAGGGAAGAAACGGUGAGAGCUAAUAUCUUUUGCUAAUGACGGUACCUGAAGAAUAAGCACCGGCUAACUACGUGCCAGCAGCCGCGGUAAUACGUAGGGUGCAAGCGUUAAUCGGAAUUACUGGGCGUAAAGCGUGCGCAGGCGGUUUUGUAAGUCUGAUGUGAAAUCCCCGGGCUCAACCUGGGAAUUGCAUUGGAGACUGCAAGGCUAGAAUCUGGCAGAGGGGGGUAGAAUUCCACGUGUAGCAGUGAAAUGCGUAGAUAUGUGGAGGAACACCGAUGGCGAAGGCAGCCCCCUGGGUCAAGAUUGACGCUCAUGCACGAAAGCGUGGGGAGCAAACAGGAUUAGAUACCCCCGUAGUCCCUGAGCGGGCUGGCAAGGCGCAU
rnacentral:rRNA from 1 species